rnacentral:misc_RNA from 1 species
GCUCGUCCGCGAUUUGCGACCACCCUUCACCUGAGUGGAUUCGAUCUUGGAGGUAAGAUGAUUAGAGCUCGCAAUUUAUAUAUGUUCAAUGUUCUAUGUUUCUUGUUUUGUCUCUUGCUGUUUUGUUUGGUGCCAUGAUUUGUAUUUGAUCUGCGCAGAAUUUGUAUUUGUAAUUCGGACUUCUGGGGAUGACCCUAAAGUCCUGCCCUGGAUGAAAGUCCGAGGGUUGCUUGAUUUGAUCUGCGCAGAAUUUGUAAUUUGUAUUUGAUCUGCGCAGAAUUUGUAAUUGAACCAUAGGGUAAGCAGACUUGCGAGAACCUUGGUUCCACCCUGGAUGAAAGUCCAAGGUUUGGUUGUAAUUUUGGUUUGGGGCACCAUUUCUUUGCCGCGGUUUGUCCUGUCUAAUGUUUGUGCUGUCUAAUGUGCUGUCAUUUGUGUUAUGUGUUUCUUAAGCAUCUCUUUCUGUCCCACAUUGCCCAUGCACGUGGCAUGCAUGGGUCAGGGGGUCAGGGGUCUUUUCUUCUCUGAGCACAUGGCGCCACCUCAACUGUUAUCGGCAGAUGCGCCAGAGGACAGACUGCCACUCUGAGGACACCCAGGACCCAGGAGGUAUGGACUCGGGCCAAGGACACUUGGACCCGCCUCAGUUAGCCGCCGAGUUCUGCCGCCGUCUUCCCGGCGCCAUUGCCUUAUGAGCAGCGUGGGCGGAUUGGGUUGGCGUCUGUUCUUUCCUGUCUAUUCUGUGUUAUCAUCAUUGGUUUUCAAUUCAGGAUCCACCACGCCACCCCCUUUCUAUCCCCACCUGCGGGUCUGAGGCAUGCCCAGUAGGACUGUUUCUGCCCCAGCUGCCGUUAUGGCUGUUUCCCUGCUCUGGGGGAACAUGGCUACAAGGCUGAGAUCUGCUACCCGUCUUUCUGUGCUCCACACACAUGGUAUGCAGGGGGGCCGCAGGAGUCUUUUUCCCACCCCUGGAUUGGCCAAGGGUCUGGGGUUACCAGCAGCACCCCCACCCCAGGUCUCUCUGCCUUGAGCACAUGGAGCUAGCUCAGGCAGAUGAACCAUCUGUCCUGAUCCGGAUAUUCAAAAAAAAAAAAAAGGGGGCCUUAAAGUUAUUAAGAAUUGUAAAAGGGACUUUGACAAAAUUUUUAUGUUGACUGAGAAAUAAAAAAAAAUGUAGGAGACUUAAGUAAUAAAGAGGGAAAGGAAAAAAAUUUGUCUAAGAAUGUCUAAGAAAGUCAGAGAAAUAAACUAAAAGGUUAUAGAGAGUUACAGUAAAUGGUAAAAGUUAUAGAGGGUUAAAGCAAGUUGUAAAAGGUCAGAAAAAAGUUGGAGGUCAGAGAAAAAGAUUGUUACAGAAAGUUAUAGAGGGAUAAAUAAGUUGUAAAAGGUCAGAGGAAAGUUGUCGAAGGUCAGAGAAAAGGUUACAAGUUAAAAAAAAAAAUUGUAAACUGUGCUAUGGUUUCUCAUGUCUACAAACAGUAAAUUUUAAAAAUGGUAAUAUAAGUUAAAAUUUUAACCAUAUUAAGCUAAUUCUGUUUUAAAAAGUCCUGUUUAUUUCUCAAGUAAUUUAUAUAUAUUUGUUUUAAAAUGUUCUGUUUCCUGGUUUAGCCAGCACAUGGCCAACUGGUCACAUGACUUGACUAGUCGCCAUUUUGCUAAAGUUAAAAAAGAAUACUUAAACCGCCAUCUUGACUAAAGAUGACCGCAUGGAAAUUAGAGGUACCAUCUUAAAAACAAGUUUUUCAAUUAAGAUUUAAAAUGUUAAUGCUUCUAUAUAUUACAGAAAGACCUUAAGGGAAUUUAAAUUUCUUUUUAAAACCAGUUUUCAAAUGUUUGUUUUUAUUAAUGUUUGUACUUAAAAGAGCUUCAAUUUAGAAUUAUUUCUAAGCAAAGCCUGACAAUGUAAAGUUCUUGUUUUAUAAAAGAUGCUAAUCUGUUACAGUUUGUGUUUUCAGAAGUUAAGUUUAGGAUGUUGAUAGCACACACCUUUAAGCUCAGGGUGUAGAUGGCACACGCCUUUAAUCCCACCAUUCGGGAGGAAGAGGCAGAUGGAUCUUUAUGAGUUCAAGGCCUGCCUGGUCCGGCAGAUAGAAUUCUAGAACAGGCUCCAAAGUCACAGAAAAACCCUGCCUCAGAAAGAAGUUAAGCUACUGUUUAAGAAAUAUAAGAUAGCUCUAUAUAGUUUUAAGUUCAGCUGUAUUACAGAAGUAAGACUUUACCUAGCCACCUGUGUGCUUCUUGUAUGCUUAAGGCAAGUAAUUAAAACAGACCUCUAAUGCUUCAGAGAUCUUCAGAAUAUGGCAUUUAAAUUGUUAUCUUUAAAGUUUAUAAUGUCAGACAGACCGCCAGAUCCGGACAGUGACCCAAAGUCUCCAAAGAAGAUUACGAGGCACCUUAGUUCCUGCACCUGGACCAGUGAGCGAGAUGCUCAGAUGUGAAACCUGCCGCCUGCCAGAACCUGGCCAAGAAUGUGGACAAAGCUGCUGGACACUGGAAAAUUGAUUGUACCCCUUUGCCUAGACAAAACAAGGUCAGUCUUUUCCAUGUCCCUCUUCCACAGAGAGGAAAAAAACCUCUCACAGUAUAGGCCUGGUGGAGAUUACUGUUCUUUGAGACAGCUGCCUCCAACGAUAAUGGAGAAACUUGGGUUUGGCUAACUGUAUAUGGACUUGCUUCUGACUGGCUUCUGUCACUUUUUAGUAGAUUUGGAUAAAGUAUACCCUUCUCAGAUCUCUGAAAUAUUACUGGUUGUCAGCUUGACAGCAUCAGUCAGUCAGAUCCACUAUAGACUAGUCAGUAUGUUAGCUGAUAAAAUAGUAACUAUCUACUGUUCAGGCACGAGUUCAAGGUUUUUAAGUUUAUUUUGGUUGUCAUCUAAGUACAAACUUAAAGGGCUUUUCAUCAGGCCAAAGGCACCUCUGUCCAAUCCAUACCUGGCACUCUGGACAGAAGCUAUACAUGCUUAUAGCCCAAAUCUGCAGUUUUUGCUAGGACUCAAAGUUAUAAAUAUGUUCUUGCUGUUUAAACAGAUAUCUGCUUUUUCUACACUGUGGGCUUCAGUAAAUAAGCUUUAACCUCUGUUCCUAGUUUAAACAUGUCUUAAACAGGUUUCUGCUUCUGGCAGACAUCUAAAUAUCAGUUGCUGACUACAGACUGUUCUAAGACUGCGAGCCCUAGACUUGCUGUGGAUGUGAACCAGUUCAGCUGAUAUGGACACCCCCUGUCUCUACAACAGUGUCUGCUACCCAGAAGCCCCUGAUGAAUUCCCCAUUGCCUAAAUCCCUUUUUGCUUUUGACUAGCAUUUCAACCUUCUGGGGUCCCUAACUUCGUCCCAAAGUCAGCAGGAAGCAGUUUAGAAAAGAAUUUCGGCGUCCAUUUUCCCUGGUUAAAAUGCUAAGUCAAAAGGAACUCCCUUACAUGGGGAUGCCAAUAUCUAUCACUCCCUGAUGGGGAUGCUAGAGAGACAGCAAUUCCAUGAUUGGAAUUUCCAGAAAAGAAAAUGGGGGAAUGAAGGAACCGGCUUCCCUUUUGGCAGCCAUAAUGGUUGAACAUGUGCUUCUAUGACCUUGUCCUAGAAACCAGAAAGUCAGAUGCCUGUCUUGUGACAAGGAACCAAUCAGAAGUUAGCUGGUGGUGCUAUGCUUUAUGGCUCUGGGUGUGCUUUACGGACAAGCGCACAGCAAUGACGUAGAGAGCAUAGCAACCACCCUGGGAGGGCCUAUGAGCCAUAACAACCAGUUGACCAAUCAACACAGGGCAAGCCCUCCAAGCCUGGAGGCACACCAAUCGUGAGCCUGUGCGUACCCCUAGACACUCCCCUUACGCUGCCCUAUAAGAUCUUUUGGGAGACCCAAGGAGCCGUCUUUUUCUAGCCGUCUGCCAUGGCAGGUGGGUGAAAGACCCGAGCUAACAUGGGGUUAGUUCGUUAAAUUACAAUAAAGCCUCGUGCAGUUUGCAGCAAAAAAAAAAAAAAAAAA